CAGGGAGUCAGCUAGCAGGAGCUGUUGAAUCCUGUUAUGGAUUCAGUUAUAAUUCAGCCCUCAUUCAAGGUUGUGAGAAAUUCAAUAGAAGCUCUAGAACAUUACAGCACAAGCAUUGGAUGCCAAUAUGUUAAAGUUAUCUGGUACUGCCUAACCAGUGGGAUGUCUCCAACGUUUUCUGUUUGUAUUUCAGAUACCCUGCAACUGCAGCUUUUUGAUUUUUAUUAUUUUUCAUUUUUCUCUUGUAAAAUAAAACAAUGUAAAAUGUAAAGCAAUCUCCCCUGGGAUUAAAUAAGUGAAUUUUAAUUCUUUAAGGAAAUAGGAGGAACCUGACUAUAAACGAAGACAAAAUGGUGACUGCAUCUAGACUAGAGGAUCGUAGGAUGCAAAACCCCUCCCAAAUUGCUGGUCAGAUCUCAUGUACAAGAAAGUCUCAGGAGUCCUGCCUCGGCUCAGGCAAAGCCCAAUAUCUAUCAGGGGUGGAGGGAGUGCAGGUAUAGGAAGCCAGUGGGGAGCAAGAGGGUAAUGUCCCCACCAGUCAAUAAUAGCAAAGGCUGGUGUGAUUGAGGGUAGGUAAAGUGGUUGGCUUACUGUGGUCUGUCAGGUGGUUAUGAAAUAAAACAAGAAAUAAUACACUGGAAAUUCAUCCUCAUUUGAAAACCCAUGCCAGAGUGUAUUAAGGUGACAAUGGCUACCUUAGCACCUUACAGUUACACCUAAAGCAAGAAACAUUGAGUAGUAAGUCCUCCAGAUAUAAGAUGAAAUAUGAGCAAGUAGGUAGAUGAAGGAUGGGUAUGUUCAUCUGAUUAUAUUUCCCUCACUGUGCAUUAUGAUUGUACUCGUUGUCUCCCCAGUGGUAUAACUACUUCAGAAGGUCAUUGUGUGGAUUUUUAGAAUAUCAAAAUCAAUCUUGACACAGUUGACUAGGAGAGCAUUAUUUGAGCUUCCUUUGUAAGUAAUUAGUAAUUGUCUGUAAUUUCAGGAUAUUGGUAAAUAAGUUGUUGUGAUCUUGCUACAUUUAGUUCUAAUAUAUUUAAUAAAACUAUUUAAAUCCCAGGGCAAAGGAGGGGGUGGAAUUCUAUCAAAUCUAUUCCAGAUUUUUGUUUUUCUGGUGUUAUUGAAUUAUAAAAUCAUUCCCCUCCUUCUGCAUUCAUUGAUCAAUGCCGUGAAUGGUUCUUUGUCCAAGCAACAUUCCAACUGAUCAAACCCAAGGGCACAUGUUUUAUUUUAGUUAUAAGCAAAGAAGCUGCAAAAACUUGUGUAAAAAUAUUAGUAAUCACUUUACCCCUCUCUAAACAUUUCUCCCCACAAACUGCACCAUUGAAUGUUCACUGUUACAUUUCACUAUAAUGAAAUAUAAAGGAGAUCAAAAUCAAAGUACAACAACACUGCACUGUGUCCAUAGGCUUUCAAGCGUCUACCAUUGUUAUGCUGUUAGCAGUAGCAUCACUACUCCUUUACAGGGGCUUAUGUUCCAAUCAGCAAAGUGCAUUUCAUUUCACAAUAUUUAGAAUUUAAAUGCUUUAAGUUUAUGCCUCUUCAAAGAUAUUGAGACUGAAAAAUGUGGAUGGACUCAUUGUAAGCUGCUAUCCAUCAUGAGUAAAGAAAUCCCCACAUCUACCCAGAGCACUGUCGCAGAACAGCAGCAUCAAUCAUCAGGGACCCACAACAACUAGGCCAUGCUCCCUUCUUGCUACUGACAUCAGGAAGAAUGCCCAGGAGCCUUAGUAUCCUACCACCCAGUUCAAGAACAGUUAUUACCCCUCAGCCAUUAGGCUCUUGAAUCAGUGGGGAUAACUUCACUCAACUUCAUUCACUGCAUCUCUGAACUAUGGAGCAAACACGAGGAAAUCUGCAGAUGCUGGAAAAUCAAACAACACACACAAAAUGCUGGUGGAGCACAGCAGGCAUAUGCAGAUGCUGCCUGGCCUGCUGUGUCCCACCAGCAUUUUGUGUGUGUUGUCUGAACUAUGGACUUGCUUUCAAAGACUCUUCAUCUCAUGUUCUUGAUAUUUAUUGCUUACUUAUUUUAUUAUUAUUACUAUUGUUAUUUUUCUCUUGCAUUGCACAGGUUGCUGUUUUCUUUUGCACAUUGUUUGUUUGUCCAUCCUGUUGGGUGUGGUCUUCCAUUGAUUUUAUUGUGUUUACUGAGUAUGCCUGCAAGAAAAUGAAUCUUAGGGUUGUAUAUAGUGACAUAUAUGUUCUUAGGUAACAAAUUUACUUUGAACUUUGAAUUUUGAUCCUGCGGAGAAGGCUGUUAGUUCAUGUCAAAAAUAUUUGUCUUCAAUUUUGCUUACGAGUAAUGUCCACCAGUUAUUCACCUGCUUACUUCUGUGAAGUAAAAGAAAAAUAUCAAUACCUGACUUCUGAUGGUCUCUCAUUUCUAUUUAUGUAACUACACUUUGUGACAAGGAAAGCUCAGAUUUAAAGAGGGGAAAUUUGUGUGUUGGGUGUUCAUUUUAAUUACAUUUUUGCGCACUUAGGGUUAUGUCCCAGCAUUAAGUAUUCUGUGCGCAUUCACAAUAUCUAUAUUUUUAAU